AAUGAUGUGCCUGAAAAAAGGAUUAUUUUGAUAGAAUAAAUAAUGUAUAUUUACCUUCAUUA
rnacentral:tRNA from 1 species